rnacentral:rRNA from 1 species
GACGAACGCUGGCGGCGUGCCUAAUACAUGCAAGUAGGACGCAGUUGCGAACGUGUGAGUAACGCGUAGGUAACUACCUAUUAGUGGGGGAUAACUACUGGAAACGAUAGCUAAUACCGCAUACUAGUAGAUGGACCUGCGUUGUAUUAGCUAGUAGGUAGUGUAAUGGCCUACCUAGGCAAAGGUACAUAGUCGAGCGGAGAAGGUGAUCGGGCACACUGGGGCGGAGACAAGGCCCAGACUCCUACGGGAGGGCACAGUAGGGAAUGUUCGGAAAUGGGGGGAACGCUGACCGAACAACGCCGCGUGAGUGGAGAAGGUUUUCGGAUCGGAAAGCUCUGUUGAUAAGGAAGCGGUACUUAACCAGAAAGGGAUGGCUAACUACGUGCCAGCAGCCGCGGUAAUAC